AGAGUUUGAUCCUGGCUCAGGAUGAACGCUGGCGGCGUGCCUAAUACAUGCAAGUCGAACGCACAGCGAAAGGUGCUUGCACCUUUCAAGUGAGUGGCGAACGGGUGAGUAACACGUGGAUAACCUACCUCAAGGUUGGGGAUAACAUUUGGAAACAGAUGCUAAUACCGAAUAAAACUUCGUAUCGCAUGAUACAAGGUUAAAAGGCGCUACGGCGUCACCUAGAGAUGGAUCCGCGGUGCAUUAGUUAGUUGGUGGGGUAAAGGCCUACCAAGACAAUGAUGCAUAGCCGAGUUGAGAGACUGAUCGGCCACAUUGGGACUGAGACACGGCCCAAACUCCUACGGGAGGCUGCAGUAGGGAAUCUUCCACAAUGGGCGAAAGCCUGAUGGAGCAACGCCGCGUGUGUGAUGAAGGCUUUCGGGUCGUAAAGCACUGUUGUAUGGGAAGAACAGCUAGAGUAGGGAAUGACUUUAGUUUGACGGUACCAUACCAGAAAGGGACGGCUAAAUACGUGCCAGCAGCCGCGGUAAUACGUAUGUCCCGAGCGUUAUCCGGAUUUAUUGGGCGUAAAGCGAGCGCAGACGGUUGAUUAAGUCUGAUGUGAAAGCCCGGAGCUCAACUCCGGAAAGGCAUUGGAAACUGGUCAACUUGAGUGCAGUAGAGGUAAGUGGAACUCCAUGUGUAGCGGUGAAAUGCGUAGAUAUAUGGAAGAACACCAGCGGCGAAGGCGGCUUACUGGACUGUAACUGACGUUGAGGCUCGAAAGUGUGGGUAGCAAACAGGAUUAGAUACCCUGGUAGUCCACACCGUAAACGAUGAA
rnacentral:rRNA from 1 species